rnacentral:rRNA from 1 species
AACGAACGCUGGCGGCAGGCUUAACACAUGCAAGUCGAACGCAUCGCAAGAUGAGUGGCAGACGGGUGAGUAACGCGUGGGAACAUACCCUUUUCUACGGAAUAGCUCUGGGAAACUGGAAUUAAUACCGUAUACGCCCUACGGGGGAAAGAUUUAUCGGGAAGGGAUUGGCCCGCGUUGGAUUAGCUAGUUGGUGGGGUAAAGGCCUACCAAGGCGACGAUCCAUAGCUGGUCUGAGAGGAUGAUCAGCCACAUUGGGACUGAGACACGGCCCAAACUCCUACGGGAGGCAGCAGUGGGGAAUAUUGGACAAUGGGCGCAAGCCUGAUCCAGCCAUGCCGCGUGAGUGAUGAAGGCCUUAGGGUUGUAAAGCUCUUUCACCGAUGAAGAUAAUGACGGUAGUCGGAGAAGAAGCCCCGGCUAACUUCGUGCCAGCAGCCGCCGUAACAC